UUAGUUAUGAUGAUGUGUUGUUGCAAAGUUGCUAAUGGUCAACAGAAUGUCUAAAGGGAACCAUCAAAAUAAAGUGUUACCA